AGUGAACGCUGGCGGUAGGCCUAACACAUGCAAGUCGAACGGCAGCCCAGGAGAGCUUGCUCUCUGGGUGGCGAGUGGCGGACGGGUGAGGAAUACAUCGGAAUCUACUCUGUCGUGGGGGAUAACGUAGGGAAACUUACGCUAAUACCGCAUACGACCUACGGGUGAAAGCAGGGGAUCUUCGGACCUUGCGCGAUUGAAUGAGCCGAUGUCGGAUUAGCUAGUUGGCGGGGUAAAGGCACACCAAGGCGACGAUACGUAGCUGGUCUGAGAGGAUGAUCAGCCACACUGGAACUGAGACACGGUCCAGACUCCUACGGGAGGCAGCAGUGGGGAAUAUUGGACAAUGGGCGCAAGCCUGAUCCAGCCAUACCGGGUGGGUGAAGAAGGCCUUCGGGUUGUAAAGCCCGUUUGUUGGGAAAGAAAUCCAGCUGGCUAAUACCCGGUUGGGAUGACGGUACCCAAAGAAUAAGCACCGGCUAACUUCGUGCCAGCCGCCGCCGUAA
rnacentral:rRNA from 1 species